CCUGAAACCGUGUACGUACAAGCAGUGGGAGCCUCUUAAUGGGGUGACUGCGUACCUUUUGUAUAAUGGGUCAGCGACUUAUAUUCUGUAGCAAGGUUAACCGAAUAGGGGAGCCGAAGGGAAACCGAGUCUUAACUGGGCGUUAAGUUGCAGGGUAUAGACCCGAAACCCGGUGAUCUAGCCAUGGGCAGGUUGAAGGUUGGGUAACACUAACUGGAGGACCGAACCGACUAAUGUUGAAAAAUUAGCGGAUGACUUGUGGCUGGGGGUGAAAGGCCAAUCAAACCGGGAGAUAGCUGGUUCUCCCCGAAAGCUAUUUAGGUAGCGCCUCGUGAAUUCAUCUCCGGGGGUAGAGCACUGUUUCGGCAAGGGGGUCAUCCCGACUUACCAACCCGAUGCAAACUGCGAAUACCGGAGAAUGUUAUCACGGGAGACACACGGCGGGUGCUAACGUCCGUCGUGAAGAGGGAAACAACCCAGACCGCCAGCUAAGGUCCCAAAGUCAUGGUUAAGUGGGAAACGAUGUGGGAAGGCCCAGACAGCCAGGAUGUUGGCUUAGAAGCAGCCAUCAUUUAAAGAAAGCGUAAUAGCUCACUGGUCGAGUCGGCCUGCGCGGAAGAUGUAACGGGGCUAAACCAUGCACCGAAGCUGCGGCAGCGACACUAUGUGUUGUUGGGUAGGGGAGCG
rnacentral:rRNA from 1 species